AACGUCCCAGAUCUCGGCGGAAGGCUUCUGUCCACAUUACAAUUUUGAAAUAAGAAGGUAAGAAUCGCUGCCUAUAAUCUGAUCUUCAAGUAUAUGUAAUAUGUAUUGGGUUUCUUCACAUUUGCAUUAUGAUAAUUACUACCCCCAUUCGUAAUUCAACGUCCGAUGUCUCGUUGCUUGUGGAGCAAUAUGUGAAUAUUUUUU
rnacentral:lncRNA from 1 species